CCCUGGCCUAGUGUAUCUAAUCUGGCCAAGGACUUCAUUGACCGCCUGCUGACCGUGGACCCUGGAGCCCGGAUGACUGCACUGCAGGCCCUAAGACACCCCUGGGUAGUAAGCAUGGCAGCCUCUUCAUCCAUGAAGAAUCUGCAUCGAUCCAUCUCCCAGAAUCUCCUCAAGCGUGCUUCCUCUCGUUGCCAGAGCACCAAAUCUUCCCAGUCCACACGUUCCAGCCGCUCCACACGCUCCAACAAGUCACGCCGUGUUCGGGAGCGCGAACUGCGGGAGCUUAACCUGCGCUAUCAACAGCAGUAUAAUGGCUGAGCCACCAGCUAUGCCAUGGACACACUAUUGUCUCAUCCUGGACACUUUAUGCCAUGUCACCUGGGCCUAAUACCUUCUCUAUAGCUAGACCUUGUGCCCAGCAGUAUGUAGAGCAUGUCUGCACCCAGCUCCUCUCUAUACCUUUAGUAGCCCCUACCUCCUAUCAAGGGCCUGGCCCUGUUAUGAUGGAAUGGUGGCUCAGGGCCACUUGAACUGGGAGCCUGGUAGGCAGCUGCUCUAUUUGAGUUGGAAAAAGGUGCAGGACUGAGUCCCCACUGAUUGCCUUAAUUUUUGCCACUUUCUUGGACCAAGGUGUCUGGGAGUACUGUGUUGGGUAGAAAGGGUCCUAUGGCUCAGGACUCUUAAUCCUUUUAUAACCCCCUUCCUCCCCAAAGCAUUGAUUGGUCUAGCUUCCACAUUCUCUGCCAUGCUAAUCCUUAAGAUUAUGCUCCAGUGGGAAGUCUGACUUGUGCCAUAGCUAAAUUGCCUCAUUAGUCCCUUAGCUACAGUUAGAUUCAAGCAACUCUGUUUCCCUCAGCCAAGAUUUAUCUUCCUUCAUGGUGCCACCGGGGACCCCUUCUGUCCUCAGACUUGCCAGACCUCUGGCUGUAGAGACUGUGGCAUGGACCUAACCUCAGGCUCCAACCUCUCUCUGAGAGAGAUCCUGUCUAUCACCCUCAGUGCCUUUGCAGAGCCUGCUAUUGUCUAUCUCUCCUACUUGGAUGCCAGUUUCGUUCCCCAGCUGCCUCCUUCCCAACAGUGAGGGGUUAAAGGGAGCUCCACUGCUGCUACCUGGGGAAUGGAUGUGCCUGAAGGUUCUAUCUUCUCAGAAGUCAUCACCAACCUUUGUUCUGUCCUUUGGUGUGUUGCCCUUUGCUGCUUCCCUUCUGGAGCUGCCAGACCCUCCUUUACAGCUCCACUGUGCCACCUACUGUCUGGUCUAGGUAUCGGUGGCCAGGAGAGGGAGUGGUGACCUUGCAAACCCACAGCCCUCCAAACGGAAGAGGAGAGAAAGGAGUUGCUGAGUUGGGGGAGAGUCCUGGGCUGCUCAACUCCCCUUCUGCUCAGUUUCUCCAAACCUCACCCUGGAACUUAGCCAUACUGUGUUACCUGCCUCUGAACCUUGGGUGCCUUGGGUGCAGACCUUGCUGUAAGAGCUGGCCUUGCCCUAUUUGCCCUGUGCCCUGUGUUUCUUUUCAUAGCAUUAACUUUCCAGGCUGGCCCCACUGAGUCUCAGGCUGGAGGGAGCCCUUCUGGGAGGUAGGGUAGGGUUGCAGGGGCUACUUUCCCAGAGGACUGAGCCACAACAGCCCC
rnacentral:lncRNA from 1 species